GUAGGUGGCAAGCGUUGUCCGGGAAUUAUUGGGGGCGUAAAGCGCGCGCAGGCGGUUCUUUAAGUCUGAUGUGAAAGCCCACGGGCUCAACCGUGAGGGUCAUUGGAAACUGGAGAACUUGAGUACAGAAGAGGAAAGCGGAAUUCCACGUGUAGCGGUGAAAUGCGUAGAGAUGUGGAGGAACACCAGUGGCGAAGGCGGCUUUCUGGUCUGUAACUGACGCUGAGGCGCGAAAGCGUGGGGAGCAAACAGGAUUAGAUACCCUGGUAGUCCACGCCGUAAACGAUGAGUGCUAAGUGUUAGGGGGUUUCCGCCCCUUAGUGCUGCAGCUAACGCAUUAAGCACUCCGCCUGGGGAGUACGGCCGCAAAGGCUGA
rnacentral:rRNA from 1 species